rnacentral:rRNA from 1 species
UUCCGGUUGAUCCCGCCGGAGGUUACUGCUAUCGGUGUUCGACUAAGCCAUGCAAGUCAUAUGUUCCUCUUGAACAUGGCAUACUGCUCAGUAACACGUGGAUAACCUGCCCUUGGGUCUGGGAUAACCCCGGGAAACUGGGGAUAAUACCGGAUAACGCAUAUGUGCUGGAAUGCUUUAUGCGUAAAAUGGAUCCGUCCGCCCAAGGAUGGGUCUGCGGCCUAUCAGGUAGUAGUGGGUGUAAUGUACCUACUAGCCAACAACGGGUACGGGUUGUGAGAGCAAGAGCCCGGAGAUGGAUUCUGAGACAUGAAUCCAGGCCCUACGGGGCGCAGCAGGCGCGAAAACUUUACAAUGCGGGAAACCGUGAUAAGGGAACACCGAAUGCCAGCAUCAUAUGCUGGCUGUCCAGAUGUGUAAACUACAUCUGUUAGCAAGGGCCGGGCAAGACCGGUGCCAGCCGCCGCGGUAACACCGGCGGCCCGAGUGGUGACCGUUAUUAUUGGGUCUAAAGGGUCCGUAGCCGGUUUGGUCAGUCCUCCGGGAAAUCUGAUAGCUUAACUGUUAGGCUUUCGGGGGAUACUGCCAGGCUUGGA